GAUGAACGCUGGCGGCGUGCUUAACACAUGCAAGUCGAACGAAGCAUUUAGGACAGAUUACUUCGGUUUGAAGUUCUUUAUGACUGAGUGGCGGACGGGUGAGUAACGCGUGGGUAACCUGCCUUGUACUGGGGGAUAGCAGCUGGAAACGGCUGGUAAUACCGCAUAAGCGCACAAUGUUGCAUGACAUGGUGUGAAAAACUCCGGUGGUAUAAGAUGGACCCGCGUCUGAUUAGCUAGUUGGUGAGAUAACAGCCCACCAAGGCGACGAUCAGUAGCCGACCUGAGAGGGUGACCGGCCACAUUGGGACUGAGACACGGCCCAGACUCCUACGGGAGGCAGCAGUGGGGAAUAUUGCACAAUGGAGGAAACUCUGAUGCAGCGACGCCGCGUGAGUGAAGAAGUAAUUCGUUAUGUAAAGCUCUAUCAGCUGGGAAGAUAGUGACGGUACCUGACUAAGAAGCUCCGGCUAAAUACGUG
rnacentral:rRNA from 1 species